AAGCCACCUGGCGACAGGGCGCGGAACCCGAAACCCCGUCCUCAGUUCGGAUUGGAGUCUGCAACUCGACUCCAUGAAGCUGGAUUCGCUAGUAAUCGCGCAUCAGCCAUGGCGCGGUGAAUACGUUCCCGGGCCUUGUACACACCGCCCGUCAAGCCAUGGAAGCCGGGAGUGCCUGAAGUGCGUGAGCGCAAGCAGCGCCCUAAGGUAAAACCGGUGACUGGGGCUAAGUCGUAACAAGGUAUC
rnacentral:rRNA from 1 species